rnacentral:lncRNA from 1 species
CUUGACACAGUUUUCAUAUAGAUUGGCCUCCAGGGCAGACAGCAGGAGUGGGGUUUAAUCUGGACUGAAUUGGAGGAAAGGAACUGGCACCAGAGUGGAGGCUGGAAGGAUGGUGGAACUGACACUGGGACAGAACACAGAAAACAGAAUCUAAUGCUAUUGCUCUGGCUAUAUCAAAUAAAAGUGUCAAGAGUGAGCAUCCUUGCCUUGUGCUGAAUCACAAAGGAAUACCUUUCAGUUUUUCUCCAUUGAUUAUGAUAGCAGUGGGCUUUUCACAGUGGGCUUUACUGUGUUGAGGUAAGUUCCUUCUGUACCUAUUUUGUUGAGUUUUCAUUACGAAUGAUGUUGAUUUGGUCAAAUGCUUUUUCUGCAUCUGUUGAAAUGGUCAUGUGGUUUUUAUCUUUCAUUCUGUUAAUAUGAUGUAACACCUUGAUUGAUUUGCAUAUAUUAAAC